AUGCUUAGGCAGCACAUACACUAUAAUUGGAACAAUACAGAGUAGAUUAGCAUGGCCCCUGCGCAAGGAUGACACACAAAUUCAUGGGAAAAAAACUAGAAAUUG